rnacentral:rRNA from 1 species
AUUGAACGCUGGCGGCAGGCCUAACACAUGCAAGUCUAGCGAGCGGCGGACGGGUGAGUAAUGUAUGGGGACUGCCCGAUCGAGGGGGAUAACUACUGGAAACGGUAGCUAAUACCGCAUACUAUCGGAUAACCCAUAUGGGAUUAGCUAGUAGGUGAGGUAAUGACUCACCUGGGAGACGAUCCCUAGCUGGUCUGGGAGGAUGAUCAGCCCCACUGUGACGGAGACACGGCCCAGACUCCUACGGAGGCAGCAGUGGGGAAUAUUAGACAAUGGGCGCGAGCCUGAUGCAGCCGUGCCGCGUGUAUGAAGAAGGCCCUAGGGUUGUAAAGUACUUUCAGUCGGGAGGCGUUACCGACAGAAGAAGCACCGGCUAACUCCGUGCCAGCAGCCGCGGUAAUUC